CGACCCCAGGUCAGGCGGGGUUACCCGCUGAAUUUAAGCAUAUCAAUAAGCGGAGGAAAAGAAACUUACGAGGAUUCCCCUAGUAACGGCGAGCGAACCGGGAACAGCCCAGCUUGAGAAUCGGGCGCCGUCGGCGUUCGA
rnacentral:rRNA from 2 species